rnacentral:rRNA from 1 species
CUCUCCUUCGGGAGGGGGAUCAGUGGCGAACGGGUGAGUAACACGUGACCAGCCUGCCCCUUGCUCUGGGAUAACCCCGGGAAACCGGAGCUAAUACCGGAUACGAGACCACGUGGCAUCACAUGGUCUGGAAAGUUUUUCGGCGAGGGAUGGGGUCGCGGCCUAUCAGCUUGUUGGUGGGGUAAUGGCCUACCAAGGCGACGACGGGUAGCCGGCCUGAGAGGGCGACCGGCCACACUGGGACUGAGACACGGCCCAGACUCCUACGGGAGGCAGCAGUGGGGAAUAUUGCGCAAUGGGCGAAAGCCUGACGCAGCGACGCCGCGUGAGGGAUGACGGCCUUCGGGUUGUAAACCUCUUUCAGCAGGGAAGAAGCGAAAGUGACGGUACCUGCAGAAGAAGCACCGGCUAACUACGUGCCAGCAGCCGCGGUAAUACGUAGGGUGCAAGCGUUGUCCGGAAUUAUUGGGCGUAAAGAGCUCGUAGGCGGUCUGUCGCGUCGGACGUGAAAAUCCAGGGCUCAACCCUGGACCUGCGUUCGAUACGGGCAGACUAGAGUUCGGUAGGGGAGACUGGAAUUCCUGGUGUAGCGGUGAAAUGCGCAGAUAUCAGGAGGAACACCGGUGGCGAAGGCGGGUCUCUGGGCCGAAACUGACGCUGAGGAGCGAAAGCGUGGGGAGCGAACAGGAUUAGAUACCCUGGUAGUCCACGCCGUAAACGUUGGGCGCUAGGUGUGGGGAACCUUCCACGUUCUCCGUGCCGCAGCUAACGCAUUAAGCG